AGCAACAAGUAAAUUGAAAAUUUUAUGCUUAAGUGGGUUGUCAAUGUAGACAGGUUCAUGCUCUUUUGGCUUUAUAGACUAUAGAGAGUUCAGAAGGUUGUUUGGAUGCUAGUCUUGUAAAGAUAAUAGGCUUUUCUAGUUUAAUCCAAAGUUUGUUUCUUUCCAUCACAUUCAGAUUUUUUCCAUGUUCUGGUCACUGCUUUUGUCGUUUUCCAAAGUUUAACAUGGCUUUUACAGUUCAGGCCAUUGAAAAUGACUGAGCCUUCAAAGGUCAUUCAUGUUCGUAAUGUUUGGGCCAUGAGAUUUCUGAGGUAAGGGAUGAGCUUCGUAAUCAAACUUUGCAGCUUGCUAGGGAAAAUCUAGAAAAAGAACCAAGGAUCAUGGAGCUUAGAAAUCAGGUUGCUUAUGAUGAUUUUGUUGCUGCUGGAU